GCUGCAUGUAUCUUAUAUAGAAUUUUAUCAAUACCUUUAAAUAUUAAUUAUAAAAACAAGCUCCAGGAGAAACAUGAAACUCAAUAGCAUUUGGUUUAACUCUCUAUAUAUAUUUUAACCUGAAGACCCAUAGGUUGCCUUGGAAUGUGUUUUUUUAUUAGGAAUGGUAAUAAUUGCUUUAACAUUUUCCCAUUUACAGAAAAUGUACCUGAUGUGACCCCC
rnacentral:lncRNA from 1 species